rnacentral:rRNA from 1 species
CCUACGGGAGGCUGCAGUGGGGAAUAUUGCACAAUGGGGGAAACCCUGAUGCAGCGACGCCGCGUGAGUGAAGAAGUAAUUAGUUAUGUAAAGCUCUAUCAGCAGGGAAGAAAAUGACGGUACCUGAGUAAGAAGCUCCGGCUAACUACGUGCAAGCAGCCGCGGGAAUACGGAGGGGGCAAGCGUUAUCCGGAUUUACUGGGUGUAAAGGGCGUGUAGCCGGGAAGGCAAGUCAGCUGUGAAAUCUGGAGGCUCAACCACCAAAUUGCAUUUGAAACUGUUUUUCUUGAGUACAGUAGAGGCAGACGGAAUUCCUUGUGUAGCGGUGAAAUGCGUAGAUAUAAGGAGGAACACCAGUGGCGAAGGCGGUCUGCUGGACAGCAACUGACGGUGAGGCGCGAAAGCGUGGGUAGCAAACAGGAUUAGAUACCCUUGUAGUC